GAAACUUCGUUGACGAGAACGAGUAUGUAUCGUGGCUUGAUCCCCAGAGAGUCGUUGCUUUGCUGCAAGACGACGUUCAAGCAGUUACAGAAUAUCAUCUCCGAGAAGCGGCGCCGAAACUUUUCCUAACCAGCUAUUGUAGCUGUACGGCAGAAGGAGUAAGGGCCGACGGUCCGUCCUCCGUUACAAGGACCGUGGAUGCUAAGGCAUUCACGCCAAAGGUGCCGUCUUUUAGGCUGCUUAUGCAGCGACAUUGACGGAACAAGGGUGGUAACGCGAGCAAGCCUCGUCCCUUCU
rnacentral:ncRNA from 1 species